GUAUAUGAGGGUGAUCUGACUACAUGCAGCAUUACCCCAUAAAUCGCCAGAGGUGAUCUGGCUGAUCUGCCUGGCUAGGCGGGCAUCCCUUUCUUCCCUCACCUUUCUAGGUGUGUCCCUCCUGAAGCUCCAUGUCCCAUCAAAGAGGACAAUCACUCCACAGAGAGAAAGAUCCUUUCCUCAGCCAAGGGUGUAUGAGUAGCUGGGCUCCCCUGAUAGAACCUCCAAACAAGCUCUGAAAAGCAAAAUGCAGGGGAAGAGCCAGACAGGAAUGGGCCAGGGCUGGUUAAAGAGCCCUCAAGGUCAUACCCCCAUGACCCAUUUCCU
rnacentral:snRNA from 1 species